rnacentral:rRNA from 1 species
AUACGGAGGGUGCAAGCGUUAAUCGGAAUUACUGGGCGUAAAGCUUACGUAGGCGGUUCGUUAAGUUAGAUGUGAAAGCCCCGGGCUUAACCUGGGAACUGCAUUUAAAACUGGCGGACUAGAGUUGAGUAGAGGGGAGUGGAAUUUCAGGUGUAGCGGUGAAAUGCGUAGAGAUCUGAAGGAACACCAGUGGCGAAGGCGACUCCCUGGACUCGAACUGACGCUGAGGUACGAAAGCGUGGGUAGCAAACGGGAUUAGAUACCCUAGUAGUCC